rnacentral:tRNA from 1 species
GGAGUUGUAGCUCAGUGGUAGAGUGCUUGCCGGGCAUGCAUGAGGCCCUGGGUUCGAUCCUCAGCACCA